rnacentral:rRNA from 1 species
UUGCGCCUACGGGACGCAGCAGUGGGGAAUAUUGCACAAUGGGGGAAACCCUGAUGCAGCGACGCCGCGUGAGUGAAGAAGUAUUUCGGUAUGUAAAGCUCUAUCAGCAGGGAAGAUAAUGACGGUACCUGAGUAAGAAGCCCCGGCUAACUACGUGCCAGCAGCCGCGGUAAUACGUAGGGGGCAAGCGUUAUCCGGAUUUAUUGGGUUUAAAGGGUGCGCAGGCGGAAGGUUAAGUCAGCGGUCAAAUGUCGGUGCUCAACACCGGCCUGCCGUUGAAACUGGUCUUCUUGAGUGAGCGAGAC